rnacentral:rRNA from 1 species
CAGAAUCCCGCCUAGACGUAACGAUACCAUAGCGCCGCGGAUCUUCGGUUGGCCACGGAUAACCGGCUUCGGUCGGUGAGUAGAGCCGUUCGUGACGGGGCUGGGGUGCGGCCGGACGAUGGUCGCCCCUCUCCCAUCUCGCACCGCAUGUUUGUGGAGAACCUGGUGCUAAAUCACUUGCAGACGACCUGAUUCUGGGUCGGGGUUUCGUACGUAGCAGAGCAGCUCCCUCGCUGCGAUCU